rnacentral:lncRNA from 1 species
CGGCGAACAGUGGACAGAGAUGUUCUUCCUGUGGCGAAACUAACUGAAGAUGACAAUGAAGAGGUCAUCCUCGAGCUCUGUUUUCUGUAAAGACUAGAACCAGAAGCUAACAGAGGAUUUAGAAUAGGAAAGGAUAGAGACUCCAUGCUUUCCUGGAAACGAAGUAGAAAAGUAAGAACGAAAUAAGUAUGUGAAAUGAGAUAGGUUAGCUUACUAUCGCAGACAUACUUAUUGAAAGACAAAAUAGGUGUACCACUCCACCAUCCACCUGUAGAAGUGAAAACAUGGUGAAGUCAGUGUCUACAACCGAGAGCAAUAUAAUGAAAUGAGUGUAUUCAAGUUUCAGUCUAUAUUCUAGAUGGGAUUAGAAGAUGAUAUACAUUGUAAACAUAUAGAUAAGAGGACAAUACUUUGUUGAUCCAACAUCACUAGAGCCAAUAGAUCAUAUAAUCAUAGUGGUGAAGAAGAAGUACCCAUAGCAAAACUGGUGACCUUUUUGGAAAGAGUUCCAGCGUCAAGGUUGUCUUCAUUGUCGAAGAUAGGAACCCAGUCAGAGCCUUUAACCCAUGCCUUUUAAGAAAAAAUACAACGAAAAUAGAAGAACACAUUAAUGAAACACUAUUGUCAAAGAGUAUUAUGAUAUCUGACUAACAUUGCUCAAUAAGACGCAUCAAAAUGAGGAAUAGCGACAAUGCUCAUAGACCCCAAACUAAACUUAAGAGAACAUUACAUGCUAUGGUUAGAGAUACUAGUCAUUUCUUUACAAUAACAUGGCCAUUUAAUGGUGAAGGUAGAGGCAAUCAUCAUCUAUGGAUAAGUUCCAAACAGCAUAGUAAAUGACCCAAAACACGCGAAUGUUACCUUGUUACGCUCGCUAGAAGGACGGACAUCGAGAAGAGGUUUGUUUGAAAGCUGAAUAGCAUAGCCUGCUUCUCUUGGUGUCAGAAGCUUCACCUUUCCUUCUCUUAACUACAGAAACAAUAAGUUUAAGAGACACAAUAACUCAUGUGUUCCAACUUUUAAGACAAAUAUGCAAAAAAGAGGAACUUACCAAACCAUCCCAACGCUUCUUAGCAGCAGCCAUGUCUCUCAUUUGCUUCAGAUCAAUAUCUUCAUCAACAGCUUGCAUCCUAACAACACCUACUCUCUAACCAUUUGAACAAACAAACAAUGAGCCAAACAAUAAAGAGACUCAAGUUUUCUUUCAAAAAAAAAAGAGACUCAAGUUUUAACCUUCGCAUUCCCAUUAACCAAAUCAAAUGGUAAAACAUAAAGAUAUGGAGAAUCGACAACUUACAGAGCGGCGAACGGUGGACAGAGAUGUUCUUCCUGUGGCGAAACUAACUGAAGAUGACAUUGAAGAGGUCAUCCUCGAGCUCUGUUUUCUGUAAAGACUAGAACCAGAAGCUAACAGAGGAUUUAGAAUAGGAAAGGAUAGAGACUCCAUGCUUUAGAGGUUAUGAGCUUUUUCAGCGAGCGGAACAGAGAAGGGAUGAAACUUUGAUUAUCCA